AUCCCUCCGCCGGCCCUCCCCCGCGCGGCCCCGGCGCCCCUCCCCGCGGGCCGCGCUCGCCACCCUGCGCCUCAGACUGUUUUGGUAGCAACGGCCACGGCGCGUCCCGGCCCGGCUCCCGGCGGCUGCUCGGUGUCUGCGGGCCUCCCCGCCCCUUCGUCGUUGUCCUGCUGCCUCUGGCCCCCGCGGCCACGCCGGCCCGCGCCUGCCCGCCCGGCGUCCGCGCGUCCCCGCCGCGCUCCGGCGUCUCCUCCUCGGCGCGCCCGGCACCCGGCUGUCCCCGCCCGGCGUGCGAGCCGGUGUAUGGGCCGCUCACCAUGUCGCUGAAGCCGCAGCCGCAGCCGCCCGCGCCCGCCACUGGCCGCAAGCCCGGCGGCGGCCUGCUCUCGUCGCCCGGCGCCGCGCCGGCCUCGGCCGCGGUGACCUCGGCUUCCGUGGUGCCGGCCCCGGCCGCGCCGGUGGCGUCUUCCUCGGCGGCCGCGGGCGGCGGGCGUCCCGGCCUGGGCAGAGGUCGGAACAGUAGCAAAGGACUGCCUCAGCCUACGAUUUCUUUUGAUGGAAUCUAUGCAAACGUGAGGAUGGUUCAUAUACUUACGUCAGUUGUUGGAUCGAAAUGUGAAGUACAAGUGAAAAACGGAGGCAUAUAUGAAGGAGUUUUUAAAACAUACAGUCCUAAGUGUGACUUGGUACUUGAUGCUGCACAUGAGAAAAGUACAGAAUCCAGUUCGGGGCCAAAACGUGAAGAAAUAAUGGAGAGUGUUUUGUUCAAAUGCUCAGACUUCGUUGUGGUACAGUUUAAAGAUACAGACUCCAGUUAUGCACGGAGAGAUGCUUUUACUGACUCUGCUCUCAGCGCAAAGGUGAAUGGUGAGCACAAGGAGAAGGACCUGGAGCCCUGGGAUGCAGGGGAGCUCACGGCCAGCGAGGAGCUGGAGCUGGAGAAUGAUGUGUCUAAUGGAUGGGACCCCAAUGACAUGUUUCGAUAUAAUGAAGAGAAUUAUGGUGUGGUGUCCACAUAUGAUAGCAGUUUAUCUUCAUAUACGGUUCCUUUAGAAAGGGACAACUCAGAAGAAUUUCUUAAACGGGAGGCAAGGGCAAACCAGUUAGCAGAAGAAAUUGAAUCCAGUGCUCAGUACAAAGCUCGUGUCGCCCUUGAGAAUGAUGACCGGAGUGAGGAAGAAAAAUACACAGCAGUCCAGAGAAACUGCAGUGACCGGGAGGGGCAUGGCCCCAACACUAGGGACAAUAAAUAUAUUCCUCCUGGACAAAGAAACAGAGAAGUCCUAUCCUGGGGAAGUGGGAGACAGAGCUCACCACGGAUGGGCCAGCCUGGGCCAGGCUCCAUGCCGUCAAGAGCUGCUUCUCACACUUCAGAUUUCAACCCGAACGCUGGCUCAGACCAAAGAGUAGUUAAUGGAGUUUUUAUACUUUCCUUCAUAUCAUUUGUUCUGUCAGGUGUUCCCUGGCCAUCGCCUUGCCCAUCUCCUUCCUCUCGCCCACCUUCUCGCUACCAGUCAGGUCCCAACUCUCUUCCACCUCGGGCAGCCACCCCUACACGGCCGCCCUCCAGGCCCCCCUCGAGGCCCUCCAGACCCCCGUCUCACCCCUCUGCUCAUGGUUCUCCAGCUCCUGUCUCUACUAUGCCUAAACGCAUGUCUUCAGAAGGACCCCCAAGGAUGUCUCCAAAGGCACAGCGCCACCCUCGGAAUCACAGAGUCUCUGCUGGGAGAGGCUCCAUGUCUAGUGGCCUAGAAUUUGUAUCCCACAAUCCCCCAAGUGAAGCAGCUGCUCCUCCAGUGGCAAGGACCAGUCCUGCAGGGGGAACGUGGUCCUCAGUGGUCAGUGGGGUUCCAAGGUUAUCUCCCAAAACUCACAGACCCAGGUCUCCCAGGCAGAGCAGCAUUGGAAACUCUCCCAGCGGGCCUGUGCUUGCUUCUCCCCAAGCUGGCAUCAUCCCUGCAGAAGCCGUUUCCAUGCCUGUUCCCGCCGCAUCUCCGACUCCUGCCAGCCCUGCAUCCAACAGAGCACUGACCCCAUCUAUUGAGGCAAAAGAUUCCAGGCUUCAAGAUCAGAGGCAGAACUCUCCUGCAGGGAGUAAAGAAAAUGUUAAAGCAAGUGAAACAUCACCUAGCUUUUCAAAAGCUGACAACAAAGGUAUGUCACCAGUUGUUUCUGAACACAGAAAACAGAUUGAUGACUUAAAGAAGUUUAAGAAUGAUUUUAGGUUACAGCCAAGCUCUACAUCUGAAUCUAUGGAUCAACUACUAAGCAAAAAUAGAGAAGGAGAAAAGUCACGAGAUUUGAUUAAAGAUAAAACGGAAGCAAGUGCUAAGGAUAGUUUCAUUGACAGCAGCAGCAGCAGCAGCAACUGUACCAGUGGCAGCAGCAAGACCAACAGCCCUAGCAUCUCCCCUUCCAUGCUUAGUAAUGCAGAGCACAAGAGGGGGCCUGAGGUCACAUCCCAAGGGGUGCAGACUUCCAGCCCAGCCUGCAAACAAGAGAAGGAUGACAGAGAAGAGAAGAAAGACACAACAGAGCAGGUUAGGAAAUCGACAUUGAAUCCCAAUGCAAAGGAGUUCAACCCUCGUUCUUUCUCUCAGCCAAAGCCUUCUACUACCCCAACGUCACCUCGGCCUCAAGCACAACCCAGCCCAUCUAUGGUGGGUCAUCAGCAGCCAGCUCCAGUGUACACUCAGCCUGUGUGCUUCGCACCCAAUAUGAUGUAUCCCGUCCCAGUGAGCCCGGGCGUACAACCUUUAUACCCAAUACCUAUGACGCCCAUGCCUGUGAACCAAGCCAAGACAUAUAGAGCAGGUAAAGUACCAAAUAUGCCCCAACAGCGACAAGACCAACAUCAUCAAAGCACCAUGAUGCACCCAGCCUCCGCGGCAGGGCCACCCAUCGUAGCCACCCCGCCCGCUUACUCCACUCAGUACGUUGCCUACAGCCCUCAGCAGUUUCCCAAUCAGCCUUUGGUCCAGCAUGUGCCGCAUUAUCAGUCUCAGCAUCCUCAUGUGUACAGUCCUGUCAUACAAGGUAAUGCCAGGAUGAUGGCACCACCAGCACAUGCUCAGCCUGGUUUAGUGUCUUCUUCAGCUGCUCAGUUCGGGGCUCACGAGCAGACGCACGCCAUGUAUGCAUGUCCCAAAUUACCAUACAACAAGGAGACAAGCCCUUCUUUCUACUUUGCCAUUUCCACCGGCUCCCUCGCUCAGCAGUAUGCACAUCCUAAUGCCGCCCUGCAUCCACAUACUCCCCAUCCUCAGCCUUCGGCCACUCCCACCGGACAGCAGCAAAGCCAGCAUGGUGGAAGUCACCCUGCACCCAGUCCUGUUCAGCACCAUCAGCACCAGGCUGCCCAGGCUCUUCAUCUGGCCAGUCCACAGCAGCAGUCGGCCAUUUAUCAUGCGGGGCUGGCACCAACACCACCUUCCAUGACACCUGCCUCUAAUACACAGUCUCCACAGAGCAGUUUCCCAGCAGCACAACAGACAGUCUUCACCAUCCACCCUUCUCAUGUUCAGCCGGCAUACACCACCCCACCCCACAUGGCCCACGUACCUCAGGUAAACCAGCACUAGCCAAGUUUUUGUGAAGGCCACAUAGGGAGUGGUGGUCAGAUAAGCAGCAAGGAGCCAGUUGCUCCCCAAGCCAGGAAACCCUGUGUGUGGUGCCAUCUGCCUGUCUGCCCCUUUCCUGCUUAGCACGUGAUCUUCUGGCUCUCAGUGAAUGUUGCUAUGGUUUUGUGGUGGAUCAGUGAAACUGUGACUUAGCAUUUCCCAGCUGAGACCUUAAACCUCUGAGUCUGGAAUGCACCCCAGUCCUUUCCUUCCUGUGUCUGCUUCGCUGCGUCUCUCUAGCCUCUCCACUGUGUAUAUAUGUGCACACAUGCAGACACCUCUACACGGGAGCACACACGCGAGCCUUAGAGCAGGGUGGCAGGCAGGCCUUCAGUGGCUCUCACUCUGAGGGACUGCACUAGGAUUGUUGGUUUGCGGGUUAGCAGUGUCCCAGCUGUUGCCUGGUUGCCUCUGUCUGCUGUGAUUCCUGAGCUUGGACCUUGGGCUGUGGUGCAGGAGAACUCAGGCUCUAGAGUAGCCCAGACCGUCUGGGGCUUCCCUUCCUUCCUUCCUCCCUUCCUUCCCCCAGUGUAAAGGCUGAGCUUGAAAGCUGUGGUUGCUGAGAGAGCCAGGGCAGCCUGGGCCAUGGAGAGGCCCUCUCUGUAGCUGUUAACGUAAGGUGGCUGGAUCAGAUGUCUGCUACUUUUGAUCACAGUUCCCUGAGGUGGGUCUCACUUAGAAGAGUUCCUGAAUGAUUCUAUUUCCUGUCUCAGUGUGCCAGUGAGGCUCUGGCGAGGUGUGAGCUAACGCUGCUGUGUAGUUGGGUCUCUUGCAGAAGGCUAGCUUGUUCCUGUCCUUCCCCCAGAGCUGAGAGUGUAGAAUAUGCUCCUGUUGGCUGGCGGCAGUGGGGAGGGUAGCCAGUGUGGUCAGUGUGCUUUGGUGGAGUGAGACUUAAGAGAAUCAGGGUCCUCUAAGUGUCCAGCAGAGGCUGUGAAUUUAUGUGUAAGAUGAGCUCAUCCCAAACCUCACUCAUGUAUUUGCAUAAGAGAGUAAGAGGCUAACAGGGAAAGCAGAGAGCCAUGGGCCUGUUUGAAGGUGUGAACCAGUGCUUCGCUGGGGUGAUGGUCUAGAGCAAUGCACAGGAUGGGAGGCAGGAAGCCGCCUCUUCCUGCUCUGCCCACUCCCUGCAGAGCCAAGGUUGAGAUUACCGACCAGGUAGCUAACAUCACCUUUCUAACUUAAAUUUGCUGCCAUUUGGUACUGGGUUGACCCAGCUUCAGAUCACUCUGUCAUCUCAGUGGAGCCAGUGACUCAGCCUUUGCUCCGUCAGUUAAGCUUUUAAAGUGAGGGGCCUAAGUGCUGCUUCACCCUACUUUUGGGGAACCCACUACAACUGGGGAAGGGCGGAAGAGGAGAGACUCAGGAAGCUGCUGAGGGUGCUGGGGAGGCAGUCCCCUUACAGGCCCUUGUCAGUUGCUUUCUGACUGGAAAAGGGCAUUGAUAUAUCUUUGGCCAUGCACCAUAGCAAGCUAAGAAAGUGCCCUUCCCACCCCAAUAGCGGCUGCUUUUGGUGAAGACCUUGCCUUGUGUGGUAUCUGAGCAGACGAGUUGGGGACUAGGAGGCAACUUCCCCAUCUUAGCCCUGCUGGAUCUACCUCAAGGUUACCCAAGAAGUCCAUCUUGCUCCUUCAAGAGCCCUAGUCCAAUGAAAGGAAUAGCUGACUUGUUGUUUAAGAAGGAGAUGUUGCCUGUAUGCGUAAAAGAGCUCUCUGUUUCAGGCUCAUGUACAGUCAGGAAUGGUUCCUUCUCAUCCAACUGCCCAUGCGCCAAUGAUGCUAAUGACGACACAGCCACCCGGCGGUCCCCAGGCCGCCCUCGCUCAAAGUGCACUACAGCCCAUUCCAGUCUCGACAACAGCGCAUUUCCCUUAUAUGACGCACCCUUCAGUACAAGCCCACCACCAACAGCAGUUGUAAGGCUGCCCUGGAGGAACCGAAAGGCCAAAUCCCCUCCUCCCUUCUCCUGCUUCUGCCAACCGGAAGCACAGAAAACUAGAACUUCAUUGAUUUUGUUUUUUAAAAGAUACACUGAUUUAACAUCUGAUAGGAAUGCUAACAGCUCACUUGCAGUGGAGGAUGUUUUGGACCGAGUAGAGGCAUGUAGGGACUUGUGGCUGUUCCAUAAUUCCAUGUGCUGUUGCAGGGUCCUGCAAGUACCCAGCUCUGCUUGCUGAAACUGGAAGUUAUUUAUUUUUUAAUGGCCCUUGAGAGUCAUGAACACAUCAGCUAGCAACAGAAGUAACAAGAGUGAUUCUUGCUGCUAUUACCGCUUUAAAAAAAAAAAAUCAAGACUUGGAACGCCCUUUUACUAAACUUGACAGAAGUUCAGUAAAUUCUUACCGCCAAACUGACGGAUUAUUAUUUAUAAAUCAAGUUUGAUGAGGCGAUCACUGUCUACAGUGGUUCAACUUUUAAGUUAAGGGAAAACUUUUACUUUGUAGAUAAUAUAAAAUAAAAACUAAAAAAAAAAAUUAAAAAAUAAAAAAAGUUUUAAAAACUGAUACCCAGUUAGUGUGUGUUUAUGUUGACUCCUGCUGCUGUGGGAGGUAGACCCCAGGGAAGACAGGCUGGUUGUGCUGCUCCAAUCUCUGAGGAGGUGCUGACCAAAUGACUUUUCUUCUUCACCUUUAGUUCUGGCUCAAGGUAUCUAGAAAAAGUCAAGACUGUGAUUCCCUCUCGGGUGGAUUAGCAGUUGGCUUCAGCAGAAGGCAGGCUGGCCAGAGGUGGGCAGCGUUCAAAAGUCCACAUCUGCAAGCAGGUGCAGACUGUAAGCUCACUUUUCCUUGUUGAUCUGAGUUAUCCCAGUUCAGUUCUGUGUUACCAGUAGGGGGCAGAAGCUCCUUCUUUACAGAGGAAUCUGACCAGGCUCAAGGUGUGGCCACAGUGGCUAAGCACUUGUCUAGUAGCACAGAGCCUUGUCCCUCCUCAGUGUAGCCAGGGAUUGGGGAGGGGGGGGCAGCACAGAAUGAGGCCAGGCUGCCCGAAAGGGAGGCAGGCAAGUGGGAUGGGUGUGUGGAUGCAGAGAUCAUGGUUGUAAUACUGGAAACCUUUUUAAUUGACAUACAGCAAUUUGUACAUUGUAGCAAAAUUUGCAUUAUUCAAGAAUAAGUUACUCAUACAGUACAUAAAACGAAGAUUUGCCAAAUACCUUCUGCUGUAAUGAUAGAAGAUGAGAUUCCCUGUUUCUGUGGUGACAAUGCUGCUUAUUCCGGCCACACACUGGCCAUUAGAUGUGUCUUCACUAGGAGGCAGUGGGUGACAGUUUAUCACUUGGUGUUUGCACCAAGGUAAUAUUAAACAAGAGACUGAGCCCUCAGGGAAGGGGUGAAGCCUUACUUUAAGAAACUUAGGUAAAGAUAGUGUUGUGUGGCCCGAGAUUGUAAUGAUCCCUAUUCCUUUCUCCUACACCAUCCAGAAAUGAUCAGAGGCAGAAGAUUUAUACAGAUAAAGCCAUAUGGAUUGCUGGUAAAGUCAAGGCAGGUUAGUUGACCCAACUCUUUGGUGCUGGUGACUUUUAGUUUGUAGUUGAGUACUCAGGAGAAGGAAGCAAGGGUACGGGGACUGUCGAGCCAGUGGUGGCCAGUAAAGACUGCUGGGGUGGGAACGGUGCCUGGUGCCAACACACUGGGAGGGCAUCUGGCCUGGAGCUUCGCAAACCUGCCCGUCCCCUUCAGCCAACUGGACCUACUCUAGCAGAAAGGAAAGGUGUUGGCUUAGUGUUGUCACUCUGUCCCACAGUCACGAGAAUACCUUUUUGCCUUAUGUUUUCUGUUAUCUUAGACACUUCUUGAAAGGAAGCUGUCCACAGUGGGGGUGGAGGUGCUGGUUUACAGCGUCGGGCAAGUCUCUCUUCUGAAGGC